GGGUUGUGAGGUUAAGCGACUAAGCGUACACGGUGGAUGCCUAGGCAAUCAGAGGCGAUGAAGGACGUGCUAAUCUGCGAUAAGCGUCGGUAAGGUGAUAUGAACCGUUAUACCCGACGAUUUCCGAAUGGGGAAACCCAGUGCAAUUCGUUGCACUAUCGUUUGAUGAAUACAUAGUCAAACGAAGCGAACCGGGGGAACUGAAACAUCUCAGUACCCCGAGGAAAAGAAAUCAACCGAGAUUCCCCUAGUAGCGGCGAGCGAACGGGGAGCAGCCCAGAGUCUUAAUCAGCAUUAGUAUCAGGAGAACGGUCUGGAAAGUCCGGCAGUAAAGGGUGAUAGCCCCGUAUCUGAAGAUAUUAGUGUUGUGAACUCGACGAGUAGGGCGGGACACGUGUUAUCCUGUCUGAAUAUGGGGGGACCAUCCUCCAAGGCUAAAUACUCCUGAUUGACCGAUAGUGAACCAGUACCGUGAGGGAAAGGCGAAAAGAACCCCGGCGAGGGGAGUGAAAUAGAACCUGAAACCGUGUACGUACAAGCAGUGGGAGCCUUGAUUUAUCAGGGUGACUGCGUACCUUUUGUAUAAUGGGUCAGCGACUUAUAUUCUGUAGCAAGGUUAACCGUAUAGGGGAGCCGUAGGGAAACCGAGUCUUAACUGGGCGAAUGAGUUGCAGGGUAUAGACCCGAAACCCGGUGAUCUAGCCAUGGGCAGGUUGAAGGUUGGGUAACACUAACUGGAGGACCGAACCGACUAAUGUUGAAAAAUUAGCGGAUGACUUGUGGCUGGGGGUGAAGAAAGCUAAAUCAAACCGGGAGAUAGCUGGUUCUCCCCGAAAGCUAUUUAGGUAGCGCCUCGUGAACUCAUCUUCGGGGGUAGAGCACUGUUUCGACUAGGGGGUCAUCCCGACUUACCAACUCGAUGCAAACUACGAAUACCGAAGAAUGUUAUCACGGGAGACACACGGCGGGUGCUAACGUUCGUCGUGAAGAGGGAAACAACCCAGACCGCCAGCUAAGGUCCCAAAGUCAUAGUUAAGUGGGAAACGAAGUGGGAAGGCUCAGACAGCCAGGAUGUUGGCUUAGAAGCAGCCAUCAUUUAAAGAAAGCGUAAUAGCUCACUGGUCGAGCUCUAUGCGCGGAAGAUGUAACGGGGCUAAACUAUGCACCGAAGCUGCGGCAGCGAUAUGUAAAUAUUGUUGGGUAGGGGAGCGUUCUGUAAGCCUGUGAAGGUGUACUGUGAGGUAUGCUGGAGGUAUCAGAAGUGCGAAUGCUGACAUAAGUAACGAUAAUGCGGGUGAAAAACCCGCACGCCGGAAGACCAAGGGUUCCUGUCCAACGUUAAUCGGGGCAGGGUGAGUCGACCCCUAAGGCGAGGCAGAAAUGCGUAGUCGAUGGGAAACGGGUUAAUAUUCCCGUACUGGUGAUAAUUGCGAUGGGGGGACGGAGAAGGCUAGGCUGGUACGGGCGACGGUUGUCCCGGUUUAAGGAUGUAGGCAGGUGAAUUAGGCAAAUCCGGUUCACUAUAUGCUGAGGUCUGAUGACGAGUCACUACGGUGGCGAAGUAGCUCAUGCCCCGCUUCCAGGAAAAGCCUCUAAGCUCUAGAUUAUCAUUAAUCGUACCCCAAACCGACACAGGUGGUCAGGUAGAGAAUACUCAGGCGCUUGAGAGAACUCGGGUGAAGGAACUAGGCAAAAUGGUGCCGUAACUUCGGGAGAAGGCACGCUGGCGUUAGGUGAAGUGGUUUACCCAUGGAGCUGAAGCCAGUCGCAGAUACCAGCUGGCUGCAACUGUUUAUUAAAAACACAGCACUGUGCAAACACGAAAGUGGACGUAUACGGUGUGACGCCUGCCCGGUGCUGGAAGGUUAAUUGAUGGGGUUAUCCGUAAGGAGAAGCUCUUGAUCGAAGCCCCAGUAAACGGCGGUACGUAACUAUAACGGUCCUAAGGUAGCGAAAUUCCUUGUCGGGUAAGUUCCGACCUGCACGAAUGGCGUAAUGAUGGUACCAGGCUGUCUCCACCCGAGACUCAGUGAAAUUGAACUCGCUGUGAAGAUGCAGUGUACCCGCGGCAAGACGGAAAGACCCCGUGAACCUUUACUAUAGCUUGACACUGAACAUUGAGCCUUGAUGUGUAGGAUAGGUGGGAGGCUUUGAAGUGUGGACGCCAGUCUGCAUGGAGCCAACCUUGAAAUACCACCCUUUAAUGUUUGAUGUUCUAACGUUGCCCCGUUAUCCGGGGUGCGGACAGUGUCUGGUGGGUAGUUUGACUGGGGCGGUCUCCUCCCAAAGAGUAACGGAGGAGCACGAAGGUUGGCUAAGCAUGGUCGGACAUCAUGCGGUUAGUGCAAAGGCAUAAGCCAGCUUGACUGCGAGAGUGACGGCUCGAGCAGGUACGAAAGUAGGUCUUAGUGAUCCGGUGGUUCUGAAUGGAAGAGUAUCGCUCAACGGAUAAAAGGUACUCCGGGGAUAACAGGCUGAUACCGCCCAAGAGUUCAUAUCGACGGCGGUGUUUGGCACCUCGAUGUCGGCUCAUCACAUCCUGGGGCUGAAGUAGGUCCCAAGGGUACGGCUGUUCGCCGUUUAAAGUGGUACGCGAGCUGGGUUUAGAACGUCGUGAGACAGUUCGGUCCCUAUCUGCCGUGGGCGUUGGAAGAUUGAAAGGGGCUGCUCCUAGUACGAGAGGACCGGAGUGGACGCACCACUGGUGUUCGGGUUGUCAUGCCAAUGGCAUUGCCCGGUAGCUAAGUGCGGAAGAGAUAACCGCUGAAAGCAUCUAAGCGGGAAACUUGCCUUGAGAUGAGUCUUCCCUGACCCUUUAAGGGUCCUAAAGGAACGUUUAAGACUAAGACGUUGAUAGGUUGGGUGUGUAAGCAUAGCGAUAUGUUGAGCUAACCAAUACUAAUGAACCGUGAGGCUUAACCUGACAACACCGAAGGUGUUUUAG
rnacentral:rRNA from 1 species